rnacentral:rRNA from 1 species
UGGGGAAUAUUGCACAAUGGGCGAAAGCCUGAUGCAGCAACGCCGCGUGAAGGAAGACGGUUUUCGGAUUGUAAACUUCUAUCAAUAGGGAAGAAAGAAAUGACGGUACCUAAAUAAGAAGCCCCGGCUAACUACGUGCC